GGGCAAUUAUCCUCAUAAGUUUGACGACAUGAGGAGCCAUUCUACUCUCGAAAUUGAUGUAUAAUGUUUUAUAACUUAGUUAUAGGAAAUUAUGCAUGGGCAGUAUAGAUAAAGGUGGUGACACAGAAUCGGGGCCCACGACUGUUUACUUAAAACACAGACACCUGCUAUGAUUAAAUUAUUUGUAUAGGUGUCGAAUUUUGCCCAAUGCCAUUAAUAUAAAGAAGGCGAGUUUUAUUUGCUGACUGAAAGUCUGGUCAAUGGCGGUCUUAACUAUAAGGAUCCUAAGGUAGCAAAAUUCAUUGUCCGCUAAAUACGGUCCUGCAUGAAUAAAGUAACGAUGGGCCCACUGUCUCUACAAGCAUCUCAGUGAAAUUGAAUUAGCCGUGCAGAUGCGGUUUGCCUCCGGGUAGACGGGAAGACCCUAUGCAGCUCUA
rnacentral:rRNA from 1 species